ACACCAUCUACUCUUCCAAACUUUAGCUUUCCCCUUCUUUGAAUUGCCCUAGCUCAUUCAGAUUAGAGAACCCUAAGCCCUCCACGCACGAAGUGACGAUUGCUCCUAACCCUAACCUUGUCUUCAUUGUGCCUCACCCCAACCCACUCUUCAUUGUGCCUCACGAAGAACCCCCUAAUCGCGAUGAAGAACAUCAUAUCGAAGAACCCUAACCUCUCUUCAUUGUGCACUCCGCGAAGAACGUUGCCGGCGCGCGUGAUGCUUCUGUCGGCAAUCCCUCUUCUGGCACCUGUAACCCUCCUUUGAGCUUCGCGUGAUGGCCCCCUGAACAACCACCCCAGCUCUGUCUCUAUCACCUCCAAUCACCGCUACGGCGCCACUGCACCUUCACCUCCGUCGCCGCGCCUCUCGCCGGAUCCACCAGCUCUCCUCUGCUCGCGUCUCGCGUCUCCGCCUCCGGCCGCCUGCGUUUUGCUUGCAUCUCUGUCUCUGCUUCGCUCGCGAUUCUAUCACGAGCUCGCCUCCACUGCUCAAGUGCUUACUCCCUCUCAUCGCACAAGGCUUCGACGUCUCGAGCUUCUUCCCUCAAGUUUCACAUCCAUCUCUUUCUCUAAAUACCACAAAUUCAAUGCGAUUUUGUUGACCUUUAUUUGGGAGCGGGAAUUUAGAAUUAAGAUACAGGGAUUUUAGAAGAUGAAAUCUGUUCCUUUCUUUGUUUAAUUGUGAUCUAUUUUUUCUUGUUUUCUAGUUGUAUUUCGGUUCAGUAUUGUUAUGCUUGCCAUUUGUUUGAUGAAUUUCCUGAGAGAGAUGGAAAAAAGUGGAACUUGAUUUCUAUGUUUCCUAUUUCCAAUUCACAAGAUUUACGUAAUUUUCCUCUUGGAUUGCUUAUAAAAUUGGGUGUAAGCAGUUAGUUUUCUCAGAUUGUUAAUGCUGUACAAUUUCUAAACUCUACCAUUUUUCACAGUGGAGGAAAAAAAUAUAUGGACGAGGUGGUUAUAAUCCUAUCCUAGGCUUUGAAAAUGAUGUCUACUUCAUUGCCAGCAUACCAUAUACUUCAUUGGGAAUUCAUCUUCCGGUAGGUUAGUAUUUUCUAUCCAGUCUUUCCACCUGUCCGAAGGAGAACUUGGGGGAACACAUUCCCUUGAUGCAUGCCUUGAGAUCACUCAAUUUAUAUCUUAUUUCGGCAAACUGUUGCUCAACUUUAGUUUUCCAAAUUGCAAUUCACCAACUUUGAGCUACUUUAAAUGCUUAUUGUGAUCAUUAAUUAUUAAUUUAUUAUAGACUGCAGAGAGAGUAAUAUUUGCAUUGUAGAGUUUAUACUUUACACCAUGUUUACUGUGCUAAGAUCUUAUUCGGAGUGAGGUUAGUAUUUGUUAUGCUGUUCAAACAUUUUCGAUUAUUCCAAGCUUAUUCCUUGUUGUGCAUAUUAAUUACCUUUUGACUUUUAUUCCAUUGCUUUACUUUCAGUUUUCUUUUUCUAAUAUAUACCAUAUUUCCUCCUUUUUUUGUAUGAACGGCAUGCAUAUACUAUGUAGCGUACUGUUCUCAUAAUAAAUUAUAUUUAGGUUGAUUGUAGACAAUUCAGGUUAUAAUUAUUUGGAUAGUUGUUCUUUGUCUCGGGCAAUAUCUCUUUUGAUUCAACAUUGGUGAGUGAAACUAUAUCCUAAAUUAGGAACUGGGUGGAUCAAAUUGAGUUAGAUGGAGAAGUAAUUGAAUUCAGUUACCGCGGCUCGUAGGGGUUCUAUUCCCUGGUGGCAAUUGCUGAGAGGAAGCGUAGAGAGAAGCUCAGCCAGCGCUUCAUUGCUUUAUAUGCCCUUGUUCCUGCCUGUGAAAGUUUCAAAAGAAAGCAGUUAUAGUUCAGACUAAAACUCUUCAGAAAAGUGCCAAGUAUGUCGAGAUGGUUGAUGCUGACUCAGCAAAGAAAGUUUCUAAAACCCCUUUUACACCUAGUGCUGCAACAGGUGGAUCAAAGACACUAUUUGUUUGGAAACCUGUCAUUUAGUUUGCAACGAUCUGACUUGUAUGUAUUGUAUAUCUUAUAUUUCCUUGUUUAUAGUGUAUUUUUUUUCUUAUGAUGUCAUGUUACUGUUGUUCAAUGAGGAGUUUUUCAAAGAUUGUGGAGAAGUUGUUGAUGUUCGUUUUUCUGUUGACGAUACUGGGAGGUUUAAACGCUUUGGACAUGUUGAGUUUGCUAUUGCAGAGGUAGCACAAAGUGCUCUUGAAUUGAAUGAGCAUGAGUUGUUGAAUCGACCUGUUAGGCUUGAUUUAGCUCGUGAAAGAGGUUCAUAUAUCCCUGGUGGCAGCAAUUUCUUCCAGAAAGGUGAUCAGUGUCAAACUGGUCAAACUUUAUACUGGGUUUUGAUAAAUCUCUUGGAGAAGAGAUAAGAGCUAACCUAAAUGAGCAUUUUGGUUCCUGCAAAGAGAUCUCGAGGGUGUCAGUCCCAAAAGAUUUUGAGUCUGGAGGUCCUAAAUGUUUUGAUGCUGAGGCAUACACUUAUGAUGAUAAGGUCAUCAAGCUGAAGCAAUGGGGGAAGCCUGAAAAUCCUAAAGAAGGAGCUACUGUGGAAACUACUAGAGCCAUAAAACAUCAUCAAGAAAGCUGAAGCAAUGGGGAAGCCUGAAAAUCCUGAAGCUACUCUGGAAACUACCAGAGCCAUAAAAGCUUCUCAGUUGUUGCUAAAUGCCAUUGAAAUUCUGAAGAAGAAGCUGGAUGUUGGAUGUCUCUGAGCACAUAGUGGAUGCUGAUGAUUAGUUUGGUGAAUUGGGUGCACAUAUGUGAGGAGGUCGAUCAAAAUUAUUGUUAGAUAAGAUGGCAAAGUUAUUGGAAUUGUAAUUCAUAUAUUAGGAAUAUAUUGCGUAGUUGUUAUCACUUUGAUUUUUGAUAUUUUGUUAUACUGUCAUGUAAUUAAACAUUUUUUUGGUGACAAGUUUAUGUAUGUUGGAUUA